AACGAACGCUGGCGGCAGGCCUAACACAUGCAAGUCGAACGCCGUAGCAAUACGGAGUGGCAGACGGGUGAGUAACACGUGGGAACAUACCCUUCGGUUCGGAAUAACUCAGGGAAACUUGAGCUAAUACCGGAUACGUCCGAGAGGAGAAAGAUUUAUCGCCGAAAGAUCGGCCCGCGUCUGAUUAGCUAGUUGGUGAGGUAACGGCUCACCAAGGCGACGAUCAGUAGCUGGCUGAGAGGAUGAUCAGCCACAUUGGGGACUGAGACACGGCCCAAACUCCUACGGGAGGCAGCAGUGGGGAAUAUUGGACAAUGGGCGCAAGCCUGAUCCAGCCAUGCCGCGUGAGUGAUGAAGGCCCUAGGGUUGUAAAGCUCUUUUGUGCGGGAAGAUAGUGAGGUACCGCAAGAAUAAGCCCCGGCUAACUUCGUGCCAGCCGCCGCCGUAAG
rnacentral:rRNA from 1 species